UCCGAUCUCCGGCCUGCCUCUAUGUUCUACAGCAGCUACACACACACAGUGGUAUCUGGAGCAGCUCUGUGGACUCAAAGGUUUUCUCCCUGAGAGGCGUAACACAGGCCAGCUGAUUCAUCAGAAUCAGGAAACUGGACAUCUCUGUGGUCCCUGAGCAUCCCAGGAGGCCGAUCGUACAGAGACCUCUGGGCCCUCUCCCCAGUCUCCCUCCACAUCCCUGGAAUAGCCCAUCACGGACCCUUCACCCUUGGCAGGUGGACACCAUUGAAACUGCCAGGGCAGACGUUUUUGUCUCACGGGAUGGACAUGGUAGAGGACGCAGAUACUUUGGAGGAGCGAGAGGACAUCAUUAUGAAGUAUGAGAAGGUACAGGGACACCGAGCUGGGCUGCCAGAGGACAUGGGGCCUGAGCCUGUUGGAAUCUACAACAACAUUGAUCACUUUGGGAUUCUGCAUGAGACGAAGCUGCCCCUGUCAGCGCCCGGGAGGUGAAGCAAAUGAGGCGGGAGAUGAGACGCGUGAGCAAGUGGAUGAAAAUGCUGGGACAAUGGGAGACAUAUAAGAACAGUAAAAAGCUGAUGAAGCGAGUGUAUAAGGGCAUUCCCAUGAACGUCCGGACGCAGGUGUGGUCAGUCCUCCUGAACAUUCAGGAAAUCAAGGCGAAAAACCCCAGAAAAUUCCAGGAAGGUCUAUGCGCACAGGGUUCCUCAUUCGGCUGGCUUCUCCAGAUGUUGAAUGACCAGCCAAACCCGAGCAAGGGUCCUCAGCAGCCAGGCCUGUGCAGGCUUCACAUGGCAGGAAGACCCUCUGCAAGGGGACAGGCAGACCCUUCCUGGCCCACCAGCCCGGUUCCAGCGGCACAUUUGGUCAGCUUCCCUGCCACGGGCACCUGGUCCUUCGACACCCUGUCCUGGUGGGGCUGUCCGGGAAGACACCUACCCUGUGGGCACUCAGGGUGUGCCCAGCCCGGCCCUGGCUCAGGGAGGACCUCAGGGUUCCUGGAGAUUCCUGGAGUGGAACUCGAUGCCCCGGCUCCCGACGGACGUGGAUGUAGGGGGCCCUUGGUUCCCCCACUAUUUCAAACAGAGCUGCUGGGUCCGUGGCUCUUCUGAAUGUGUGCAGCUCAAAAGACAUUCACAGAUGGAACACACAGAUCACAAAGCCAACCAUGCCCAGCCCCUCGCAGCACCCCAAGUCCCGCUACCAGAGUUCUGAAUUCUGAUGACACCAUGAGCCUGCCUUUGUACUUCACACUCAUGGAAGGAUAACCACCUCCAUGUUUUAAAUAAAUGUUUCCUGUUGAAAUGG